rnacentral:rRNA from 1 species
UACGGAGGGUGCAAGCGUUGUUCGGAAUCAUUGGGCGUAAAGGGCGCGUAGGCGGGUCGUUAAGUCCGACGUGAAAUCCCUCGGCUCAACUGAGGAAGUGCAUCGGAUACUGGCGGUCUUGAGUCCUGGAGAGGGUAGCGGAAUUCCCAGUGUAGAGGUGAAAUUCGUAGAUAUUGGGAGGAACACCGGUGGCGAAGGCGGCUACCUGGACAGUGACUGACGCUGAGGCGCGAAAGCAUGGGUAGCAAACAGGAUUAGAAACCCCAGUAGUCC